UACGAAGGGAGCUAGCGUUGCUCGGAAUCACUGGGCGUAAAGGGUGCGUAGGCGGGUUUUUAAGUCAGGGGUGAAAUCCUGGAGCUCAACUCCAGAACUGCCUUUGAUACUGAAGAUCUUGAGUCCGGGAGAGGUGAGUGGAACUGCGAGUGUAGAGGUGAAAUUCGUAGAUAUUCGCAAGAACACCAGUGGCGAAGGCGGCUCACUGGCCCGGUACUGACGCUGAGGCACGAAAGCGUGGGGAGCAAACAGG
rnacentral:rRNA from 1 species